CUUAAGAAGAAGGCCAAGCAGCAGGACACAGAGGUUAGAAAACUGCCUUCUAAAAACAGUAUUAUCUCAGUCGGAGUCCUUCAAAAUGCACAUGUAAUUGAUGUUUCUUUUCAAAUUGACUUGUCCAGGAAACCAUGACACAGACGACAUCUGAUGUCCAAAGAGUGUGCAUGGCAGAUUCCAUGAAAUUCUGUGUCUACCAGACAUCCGACACCACAGGAGAGAGGUUUGUUGCAGACUCAAUUUAAUAAAUGCAAUUAUCAGGGCCUAUUCAGUGAUUUUCCAUGAAGUGACCACUUUUACAUAUAGUUUAUUUGCACAAAUCAUGUGGUAAAAUUAUUUAAACAUUCAAAUGUGCUGCUGAGGUAUAAUCAAUUGGACAGCGUGUGUGUUUAAUAUUAAGUUUGUCUCUCAUUUGAUCAGAUUGCUUUACCCUGAGGUAAAGUUUGUAAAAUGGGUCCAGUGCAAGACAUGCAGGGGCUGGCUGCAUCAAGAUUGUGCCGGGAUUGACAUGGAGCCCUUUGACUGUGGCUACGAGGACUCCAUUGAGCAUCCUCGGUAUAACAUAAUUUAUCAAAGAAACAUAGUAUCAGUCAAAAAUAC